rnacentral:rRNA from 1 species
GAUGAACGCUGGCGGUGUGCCUAAUACAUGCAAGUCGAGCGCACGGACGAGAAGCUUGCUUCCCUGAUGUUAGCGGCGGACGGGGGAGUAAGACGUGGAUAACCUACCAAUAAGACUGGGAUAACUUCGUGAACCCGGAGCUAAUACCGGAUAAGAUUUUGAACCGCAUGGUUAAAAAGUGAAAGACUGUCUUGCUGUUAGUUAUAGAUGGAUCCGGGCUGCAUUAGCGAGUUGGUAAGGUAACGGCUUACCAAGGCAACGAUGCGUAGCCGACCUGGGAGGGUGAUGUACCAGGUUGGAGCUGAGGCACGGUCCAGACUCGAACGGGAGACAGCAGAGGGGAAUCUGCCAGGAUGGGGGGGAGCCUGACGGAGAAACGCCGCGUGAGUGAUGAAGGUCUUCGGAUCGUGAAACGCUGUUAUUAGGGAAGAACAUAUGUGUAAGUAGCUGUGCACAUCAUGACGGUACCUGAGCAGAAAGCAACGGCUAACUACGUG